CGUAAUAUCGCUUUUAAUUGUGCUUUUAAUAGAGAUUGAUUUCCUUUCAAGAAUCACGGUAAUUAACGGCAUUAAUUUAAGCAAACAACGUUCGUAGUUAAAAAAUUACAACUUUACUCUUGUCUUAAAAAUAACCGCCUGUUAUCUCAGAUCAAAGUCCCCACCCGCAUGUUAUUAAGAUGUAAUUUCGCGUAUUCCGUGCAUCGGUUUUAUUCUUUUUAUCCUUUUUCUUUUUUCCUUUUUUUUUUUUCGUCGCCUUGAAUAGCACGAGCAAUCUGUACGAUGCUUCUUCGAUUUCUUGUUACGUGAUAGAUUUGAUCUCGUAAUGAUUAACCGUUGCAGAACCAUUGUAAGACGAGUAUAACGCAAAAAGGUGCAACGGAUUUUUAUUAGUCUUCGUUUCCUGCGGCAGACAUGAACAUAUCUACAUGGCAGUGUGCCACGAAACAAGAGAAAGCUGUUAGACGCAACUAGGCUCCUGGAAUCUGUACGUCUUUUCGAGUGGAAAUCACCAAGGCGACAAACGAGGACGUUUUACAUUUUACAUACCGUGCGCUACAGUUCAGGAUGAAAAGCGAAAUUAGCUCGCCUCAUAAGCAGUACGAUUUUUACGGUGUCGAUCAAGCGCAACUGCCUAACGAGACUGUACACGCAAGUAUGGACAAAUCAUGCAGCUGUCUAUAGCCUGUAGAGUCAGCUGAGAGAAGAUGAGAAGACGAUCAGCUGCGUUAAAAAAAUUUGACGUCCUUCAAAUAUUAGAAACGCCUCCACUUUCGGAGCAAAGACACACCUACACUGCGUGACACAUCAUUUGGAAGAAAGAAGUUACUGAUACACAGUUUUCAAUAUGAAAAUUAUAAUUCUAAUUAUAAUAGUAAACUACUACUAUAUAUGUGUAAACGAUAACCCUCUGAAACUACCUACGGUAUCAAAUUCCACUGGAAAACUUAUACGAAAAUAAAAAACGACGCAAUAGUAUCCAGUCUAACAAAGUGAUUUUAUUAUCCGCGAGGUAUAAUCGCGGUAGAGAAAGAAAAAAAAAAAAAGAUCUCCGUUUUCCGGGAUCGAAUUCCGUCUGAAUACGCCCCUGUUCGCAGGCGUAUUAGCUGUAAUGCUAAACGCAGACACCUCGAGGCAUGACGUAGCGCCCCAUAGAAACGGCUACGUGCCAUAGUGUCAUAAUGCGCGUCCUUUGAAGCCACUUUUCGAGUUGCGUAAUCACAUUUAAUAACGACAGCCUGGCGAUUACCGCUGCAUCUCGACUCACCAGCCACGAUUUUACCUGAUUUUACCAUACGACGCCUUAAGGCUUAAGGGAUGUCGGGAAGGUGAAUCUUUACUGCUUCAACGUCGAAUUAAAUAAUCAUAAAUUGCUGCGAAAAAGCACAUUUCAAAAUGUGCUGACCAAUGACAGUAACUCACAGACGGGAUGAGCAGUAUACGAAUUCGUAGUAACGAUUAAUGAAACGAGCAAUGAAAUUUUAAAGAAUCACCUUUUUAGUCAAUAACGAGACUUUUGUACAAUUAUUUUGAAAAAAGUUCAUUUUCCUUCGAU